rnacentral:tRNA from 1 species
UCCUGGGUGGCUUAGUCGGUUGAGCGUCUGACUUUGGCUCAGGUCAUGAUCUCGCAGUUUGUGAGUUCUAGCCUCGUCUCGGGCU